UAAAACUAAACUAGCUAUAUAUAUUCCAGAUUUGACACCGAAAAAAAUCGGCGGCAACUCUGGCGACUGCGAAUGGGACUCAGAAUGGGCCUGUGAGUGUGAGUAUGAAUGUGAGUGUGAGUGCGACUGGAGCUGUCGCUGAGCCUUCGGUUGACAGCUGUCAGUGUCAGUUUACAUAAUUUAUAGAUUUCAGCGCAUAAAAAAGUCAUAAAAUUUACAAUGUUGCUUUCAACAAAAACACAUUCGGGCGAUUCCUCUGAUGCCUUAUUUUUAUGAGGCAAGACAUCAAUUUUCGCACAGCACAGUCUAGCCUGCCUAUAGCCACUACACACACACACACACACACACAUAACUAUGCCAUGUCCCAUUUAUAUUUCUCAAUUUUCCAUUCCUCGAAGCAGGAGGAAAAGAUUGUUUGUACUGCCAUCACCAUCGCCAUCGGCUUUGGCAUUCGAAAUGCUUUUGAUUUAUUUGUAUUUAUGUGAUUCCGUUCUCAUACUCAACUCCAGCGAUAAAUUCUCGCACUCAACAAAAUACAUAAACGAUUUAUAGUUGCGAAAAGCGAUCCGAACAAUAACUAACAAACUGCACAAUGGAUUCGAAGUCGUAUUCGUAUUCGCAUUCGGAUACGGAUUCAUUCGGAGGCAACCCAAAAGGAGCUCAAGGUGGCACAGAAUUGCUUGUGAUUAAGCCGGAAAUGGAAUCUUCAUGGGAAUUCAGCGAAAUAUCAGCGAGAUAUCUUGAUUCCAUACCUAAUACACAUUUGAAUAGAAGAUAUUACCUUUAAACUUCAUUUUCUUUAAUAAAUAUGACUAGAGAAUAUAAAA